UGUCCCUUAGCGCAGUGGAUAGCGCGUUGGACUUCUAAUCCAAACCGUGGUUCGAAUCCCACCAGGGAUGA